AUACGUAGGGUGCAGGCGUUAAUCGGAAUUACUGGGCGUAAAGCGUGCGCAGGCGGUUUUGUUAAGACAGAGGUGAAAUCCCCGGGCUCAACCUGGGAACUGCCUUUGUGACUGCAAGGCUAGAGUGUGGCAGAGGGGGAUGGAAUUCCGCGUGUAGCAGUGAAAUGCGUAGAUAUGCGGAGGAACACCGAUGGCGAAGGCAAUCCCCUGGGCCUGCACUGACGCUCAUGCACGAAAGCGUGGGGAGC
rnacentral:rRNA from 1 species